rnacentral:tRNA from 1 species
GGGCAAUUAGCUCAGUGGUAGAGCGCUGCCUUCACACGGCAGAGGCCGCAGGUUCGAAACCUGCAUUGCCCACCA